ensembl:lncRNA
CCAUGAAAUGCUCUGCUCUCUUCUCUUUUCCUUGCUGUCCGCGGGGCUGGAGCAGUGCAGGCCCUGUGGGACUCCCCUCUCCUUCCAAAGGGCGAGCCGGUCGCGGAGAGGGAACACAAGUUCAGCCCCCGGUUGGGGAGCUGAGACCUUGCAUGAUGCCGUGGGGCAGCUGAGCCCACGCAGCGCAACUAGAGAGUCCACGUGCCUCAGCAGAGACCCAGCGCGGCCAGAAAGAAACAACAAAUAAAAAGAUAAAAAUAAAAAACAGUUUUGCCUCUCACUCCCUGGAGCACCUAAUUUUGUUGUUGUUGUUUUUUUUUAAUCUCAAACUGAUUUCUUGCCCACAAAACCUCGAGCCGCAGGGUCAACAAGACGCUCCUGGUGACCUCCAGCAAACCUCGGACCCUCU